AAUUUCUUCAAAGUAAAUGAUCUACACGCCGCCAACGAGAGUUUUAAAUCCCGCCACGUACAUAUAGAAGGAUGACACGGACACCGACACCGCACUCCCGUUAAAGGAGCGAGCAUCUAGUCCGAGCCAGAAAUCCAACUACGAGCUUUUUAACUGCAACAACUUUAAUAUACGCUAUUGGAGCUGGAAUUUACCGCAGCUGCUGGCACCAGACUUGCCCUCCCAAUGGAAUUCGUUAAGGGGAUUUAAAAUUGUUCUCAUUCCCAAUCACUCGACCAAAAAUUUGGCCGAAAUAUUGUUUAUUUUUUUGUCACUACCCUCCCCUGUGUCAGGGAUUGGGGUAAUUUUGCGCGCCUGCUGCCUUCCUUUGGAUGUGGUAGCCCGUUUUCUCAGGCUCCCCUCUCCGGAAUCGAACCCUAAUUCUCCGUUACCCCGUUAACGCCACGGUAGUCCACUACACUACCGUCGAAAGCUGAUAGGGCAGAAAUUUGAAUGAACUAUCGCUCUAGUACAAGAGCGAUUCGUUAGUUACUAUGAGUCGACAAAAAACCCUUUGCAGCGGCCGGUUGUAUCUAAUAAAUACAUCCCUUCGUUAGUUGGGAUUUUACGCAUGUAUUAGCUCUAGAAUUACCACGGUUAUCCAUGUAGUAUAUUCACCGUCAAAUAAAUUAUAACUGAUAUAAUGACUGUACGCAGUUUCACAGUAUAAAGUUGUUUAUACUUAGACAUGCAUGGCUUAAUCUUUGAGACAAGCAUAUGACUACUGGCAGGAUCAACCAGGUUAUCGGAUCCC
rnacentral:rRNA from 1 species